GACGAACGCUGGCGGCGUGCUUAACACAUGCAAGUCGAACGGAAAGGCCCUGCUUUUGUGGGGUUCUCGAGUGGCGAACGGGUGAGUAACACGUGAGUAACCUGCCCUUGACUUUGGGAUAACUUCAGGAAACUGGGGCUAAUACCGGAUAGGAGCUCCUGCUGCAUGGUGGGGGUUGGAAAUUUUCGGCGGUUGGGGAUGGACUCGCGGCUUAUCAGCUUGUUGGUGGGGUAGUGGCUUACCAAGGCUUUGACGGGUAGCCGGCCUGAGAGGGUGACCGGCCACAUUGGGACUGAGAUACGGCCCAGACUCCUACGGGAGGCAGCAGUGGGGAAUAUUGCACAAUGGGCGGCAGCCUGAUGCAGCAACGCCGCGUGCGGGAUGACGGCCUUCGGGUUGUAAACCGCUUUCGCCUGUGACGCAGCGUGAGUGACGGUAAUGGGUAAAGAAGCACCGGCUAACUACGUG
rnacentral:rRNA from 1 species